rnacentral:misc_RNA from 1 species
GGCUGACGCUCGCCCUGAUUUACCUUCAGACCUCCACCGCGAUCCGGUUCGAUCAGGUGCAACUGUCCGACGUGCUGUGGAAAGUUUUCUUCGCGCUCUCGAUCAUCAUCGGCGUGGUGGCAUGGCUGUUUUUUUUUCUGGGGUGUGAGAGUCGCUAGGCCGCUGAAGCCGAAACCAAACGGCAGACUACGUUGCUGAUGCAGGAAAUCGACGCCCAUCGGCAAACCGACAUGGAGCUUCAGCGCGCCAAGGAAGUCGCCGAAUCCGCCA